rnacentral:rRNA from 1 species
UACAGAGGUCUCAAGCGUUGUUCGGAUUCAUUGGGCGUAAAGGGUGCGUAGGUGGCGGGGCCAGUCAGGUGUGAAAUCCCGGGCUUAACCCUGGAACUGCAUUUGAUACUGCCUUGCUGGAGAACUGGAGAGGAGACUGGAAUUUACGGUGUAGCAGUGAAAUGCGUAGAGAUCGUAAGGAAGACCAGUGGCGAAGGCGAGUCUCUGGACAGUUACUGACACUGAGGCACGAAAAGCGUGGGGAGCAAACAGG